rnacentral:rRNA from 1 species
AUUGAACGCUGGCGGCGUGCUUAACACAUGCAAGUCGAUCGGUAACGCGGGGGCAACCCUGGCGACGAGAGGCGGACGGGUGAGGAACGCUUGGGAAUCUGCCUAUCAGCGGGGGACAACACGGGGAAACUCGUGCUAAUACCGCAUACGCUCUACGGAGGAAAGCCGGGGACCGCAAGGCCUGGCACUGAGAGAUGAGCCCAAGCCGGAUUAGCUAGCUGGCGGGGUAACGGCCCACCAAGGCGACGAUCCGUAGCUGGUCCGAGAGGACGAUCAGCCACACUGGGACUGAGACACGGCCCAGACUCCUACGGGAGGCAGCAGUGGGGAAUAUUGGACAAUGGGGGAAACCCUGAUCCAGCGACGCCGCGUGGGUGAAGAAGGCCUGCGGGUUGUAAAGCCCUUUCGGUAGGGACGAAAGCUCUCGACCUAACACGUUGGGAGGUUGACUUAACCUACAAAAGAAGCACCGGCUAACUCUGUGCCAGCCGCCGCCGUAAUAC